AUGCACGCUGGCGGCGUGCUUAACACAUGCAAGUCGAACGGAAAGGCUCCUGCUUGCAGGGGUACUCGAGUGGCGAACGGGUGAGUAACACGUGGGUGAUCUGCCCUGCACUUCGGGAUAAGCCUGGGAAACUGGGUCUAAUACCGGAUAGGACGAUGGUUUGGAUGCCAUUGUGGAAAGUUUUUUCGGUGUGGGAUGAGCUCGCGGCCUAUCAGCUUGUUGGUGGGGUAAUGGCCUACCAAGGCGUCGACGGGUAGCCGGCCUGAGAGGGUGUACGGCCACAUUGGGACUGAGAUACGGCCCAGACUCCUACGGGAGGCAGCAGUGGGGAAUAUUGCACAAUGGGCGCAAGCCUGAUGCAGCGACGCCGCGUGGGGGGUGACGGCCUUCGGGUUGUAAACUCCUUUCGCUAGGGACGAAGCGCAAGUGACGGUACCUGGAGAAGAAGCACCGGCUAACUACGUG
rnacentral:rRNA from 1 species